AUCCUUUAAACCGGAAAUCAGCGCAGGUUGAGCACGUGUGCUGUCAGCGAGGGCGUGAGCCGCAGGAAACAUCCGCACAAACUGUUGAGAGCAAAUUAAACCGACCAGGUUCAUUUAACCGAUUACCUGAGUUUCGAGGUGCGUGUUAUUUCGCUGCAUCGAUCAGGGAGCAGAAUGAACUAGAAGCAAAGAUCUGCGGUGAAAUCACUCACUCACGACCAACAAACAUCACGAGGCUAUAGAAAGAAAACAGCAACGAUUUAAGAUGACUGGAGCAAAAGACAGAAUGAGAGAAAAAAAGAUGAAGAAUCAGCCGAGAAACGUCAUUUACACAAGCUCAGGUCGCGGUACCGGGAGAGGUCAGGGGUCACAGGCAUGUGGCUGGGUCAGAGGUCAUCAGCCUGGGGGUCACAGUUACAGUCAAACUCUGCCCAAAUACAUCACGGGUAACAUUCAUAACUAAAA